ACGUUAGCGGCGGACGGGUGAGUAACACGUGGGUAACCUACCUAUAAGACUGGGAUAACUUCGGGAAACCGGAGCUAAUACCGGAUAAUAUUUCGAACCGCAUGGUUCGAUAGUGAAAGGUGGUUUUGCUAUCACUUAUAGAUGGACCCGCGCCGUAUUAGCUAGUUGGUAAGGUAACGGCUUACCAAGGCGACGAUACGUAGCCGACCUGAGAGGGUGAUCGGCCACACUGGAACUGAGACACGGUCCAGACUCCUACGGGAGGCAUCAGCG
rnacentral:rRNA from 1 species